rnacentral:rRNA from 1 species
UUUGAUCCUGGCUCAGGAUGAACGCUAGCGGCACGCUUCAUACAUGCAAGUCGAGGGGCAGCAUAAAGUACUUGUACUUUGAUGGCGACCGGCGAACGGGUGCGUAACGCGUAUGCAACUUACCUUUUACUAGAGAAUAGCCAAGAGAAAUUUUGAUUAAUGCUCUAUACUCUUUUUAACUCACAUGAGUUUUUAAGAAAAGCUCCGGCGGUAAAAGAUGGGCAUGCGUCCUAUUAGCUUGUAGGUGAGGUAACGGCUCACCUAAGCUCCGAUAGGUAGGGGUCCUGAGAGGGAGAUCCCCCACACUGGUACUGAGACACGGACCAGACUUCUACGGAAGGCAGCAGUAAGGAAUAUUGGACAAUGGAGGAAACUCUGAUCCAGCGAUGCCGCGUGAAGGAAGACGGCCCUAUGGGUUGUAAACUUCUUUUAUACAGGAAGAAACCUUUCCACGUGUGGAAAGCUGACGGUACUGUAAGAAUAAGGAUCGGCUAACUCCGUGCCAGCAGCCGCGGUAAUAAGGG